UGUGACCGCAUGCGGCUUAGACCGUAUGAGGAAAGUCCGAGCUCCAUAGGGCAGGGUGCCGGGUAAUACCCGGUGGAGGCGACUCCAAGGAUAGUGCAACAGAAAUAAACCGCCAACAGUCGUUACGGCCGGUUGGUAAGGAUGGAAAGGCGAGGUAAGAGCUCACCGGCGGCAUGGCGACUUGCCGGCCCUGUAAACCCCACCUGGUGCAAGAUUGGAAUGAGAGCAUUUAAUGGCGGCCCGCCACGCUCUUGGUAAUCGCUUGAGCCUGCCGGUAACGGCAGGCCUAGAUAGAUGGUCACACUAAGACAGAACUCGGCUUACGGGUUG
rnacentral:RNase_P_RNA from 1 species